AACGAACGCUGGCGGCAGGCUUAACACGUGCAAGUCGAGCGCCCCGCAAGGGGAGCGGCAGACGGGUGAGUAACGCGUGGGAAUCUACCCAUCUCUACGGAAUAACGCAUGGAAACGUGUGCUAAUGCCGUAUACGUCCUUCAGGAGAAAGAUUUAUCGGAGAUGGAUGAGCCCGCGUUGGAUUAGCUAGUUGGUGGGGUAAAGGCCUACCAAGGCGACGAUCCAUAGCUGGUCUGAGAGGAUGAUCAGCCACACUGGGACUGAGACACGGCCCAGACUCCUACGGGAGGCAGCAGUGGGGAAUAUUGGACAAUGGGCGCAAGCCUGAUCCAGCCAUGCCGCGUGAGUGAUGAAGGCCCUAGGGUUGUAAAGCUCUUUCACCGGUGAAGAUAAUGACGGUAACCGGAGAAGAAGCCCCGGCUAACUUCGUGCCAGCCGCCGCCGUAAAAC
rnacentral:rRNA from 1 species